GGUAUGGGAUGAGCUUGCGUCCGAUUAGCUAGUUGGCGGGGCAACGGCCCACCAAGGCGACGAUCGGUAGCCGGCCUGAGAGGGUGAUCGGCCACAUUGGGACUGAGAUACGGCCCAGACUCCUACGGGAGGCAGCAGUAGGGAAUAUUGCACAAUGGGGGAAACCCUGAUGCAGCAACGCCACGUGUGGGAAGAAGCAUUUCGGUGUGUAAACCACUGUCGUGAGGGAAUAACCUCGCUUUUCGGAGCGACUGAAUGUACCUCGAGAGGAAGCACCGGCAAACUUCGUGCCAGCAGCCGCGGUAAUACGAGGGGUGCAAGCGUUGUUCGGAAUCACUGGGCGUAAAGGGAGCGUAGGCGGAAGCGCAAGCGGACUGUACAAUACCGGGGCCCAACCCCGGACCUGCAGUUCGGACUGCGUUUCUUGGAUAGUUCAGGGGCAGGC
rnacentral:rRNA from 1 species